rnacentral:rRNA from 1 species
AACGAACGCCGGCGGCAGGCUUAACACAUGUAAGUCGAACGGGUGCAGCAAUGCAUCAGUGGCAGACGGGUGAGUAACACGUGGGAACCUUCCUAGGGGUACGGAACAACUCAGGGAAACUUGAGCUAAUACCGUAUACGUCCGUGAGGAGAAAGAUUUAUCGCCCUUAGACGGGCCCGCGUCGGAUUAGCUAGUUGGUGGGGUAACGGCCUACCAAGGCGACGAUCCGUAGCUGAUCUUAGAGGAUGAUCAGCCACACUGGGACUGAGACACGGCCCAGACUCCUACGGGAGGCAGCAGUGGGGAAUCUUGGACAAUGGGCGCAAGCCUGAUCCAGCCAUGCCGCGUGAGUGAAGAAGGUCUUCGGAUUGUAAAGCUCUUUUGCCAGGGACGAUAAUGACGGUACCUGGAGAAUAAGCCCCGGCAAACUUCGUGCCAGCCGCCGCAGUAAGAC